rnacentral:sRNA from 1 species
AGUCGAACGGUAACAGGAAGAAGCUUGCUUCUUUGCUGAUGACUGGCGGACGGGUGAGUAAUGUCUGGGAAACUGCCUGAUGGAGGGGGAUAACUACUGGAAACGGUAGCUAAUACCGCAUAACGUCGCAAGACCAAAGAGGGGGACCUUCGGGCCUCUUGCCAUCGGAUGUGCCCAGAUGGGAUUAGCUAGUAGGUGGGGUAACGGCUCACCUAGGCGACGAUCCCUAGCUGGUCUGAGAGGAUGACCAGCCACACUGGAACUGAGACACGGUCCAGACUCCUACGGGAGGCAGCAGUGGG